rnacentral:rRNA from 1 species
AGGGUUCGAUUCUGGCUCAGGACGAACGCUGGCGGCACGCUUAACACAUGCAAGUCGAACGGAGAAUAUUGAGUUACUUAGAUAUCUAGUGGCGGACGGGUGAGUAACACGUGAGCAACCUACCUUAGAGAGAGGGAUAGCUUCUGGAAACGGAUGGUAAUACCUCAUAACAUAACUGAACCGCAUGAUUUAGUUAUCAAAGAUUUAUCACUCUGAGAUGGGCUCGCGUCUGAUUAGAUAGUUGGUGAGGUAACGGCUCACCAAGUCGACGAUCAGUAGCCGGACUGAGAGGUUGAACGGCCACAUUGGGACUGAGACACGGCCCAGACUCCUACGGGAGGCAGCAGUGGGGAAUAUUGCACAAUGGGGGGAAAAACCCCCUGAUGCAGCGAUGCCGCGUGGAGGAAGAAGGUUUUCGGAUUGUAAACUCCUGUCUUAAAGGACGAUAAUGACGGUACUUUAGGAGGAAGCUCCGGCUAACUACGUGCCAGCCGCCGC